rnacentral:rRNA from 1 species
AGCAGCCGCGGUAAUUCCAGCUCCAAUAGCGUAUAUUAAAGUUGUUGCAGUUAAAAAGCUCGUAGUUGAAUUUCGGGAUUAGUACGUUGGUCGUGCCUUCGGUACGUACUGGUGUUACUGAUUCCUACCUUCUGACGAACCAUCAUGUCAUUAAUUUGGUGUGGUGGGGAAUCAGGACUGUUACUUUGAAAAAAUUAGAGUGUUUAAAGCAGGCUCGCGCUUGAAUACAUUAGCAUGGAAUAAUGAAAUAGGACGUUGACCCUAUUUUGUUGGUUUCUAGGAUUGACGUAAUGAUUAAUAGGGAUAGUUGGGGGCAUUAGUAUUCAAUUGUCAGAGGUGAAAUUCUUGGAUUUAUUGAAGACUAACUACUGCGAAAGCAUUUGCCAAGGAUGUUUUCAUUAAUCAAGAACGAAAGUUAGGGGAUCGAAGACGAUCAGAUACCGUCGUAGUCUUAACCAUAAACUAUGCCGACUAGGGAUCGGAUGAUGUUAUUUUUAAUGACUCAUUCGGCGCCUUACG